CCGCCCCUAACUCCGCCCCGCCCCGCCCACCGUGGCCUUGCCGGCUGAGCCGUUUGAGGUCUGCGCCACCAGAUCGUGUAAGACCUCCGUGUCACCCAGCUAUGUGCCAUUGAAUCAGUUGCCUCCCUGGCUUUUAAAAGCAAUUUAUUAGUUUUGGAUCGUGUCGUAACCUAGAGUAUGUUUAAGCAGGAAUGGGAGAGGGUCACCCGCAUCUCAGCCUUGAUUCCACCCAGAGCUCCAGGAACCUAAGUGUUCCACUGCUGGCACACCUACAGGGCUGUGGCCACCCCUGCAAAAAGGAAGCAGAAUCUGAAAGCAGGUGCACAGCAUGGACCAGGAAGGAGACUUCUGACCCCACCCUGGCAUGGCAUUGAUGCUCCAUCCAUAAAUGUCCCAUAAAUGAAUGACCCUUGCUCAAAAGAGCAAAGGGACUAAUUUCACAGGCAUUGGGAAAGCUGACUUUUUUUGUUGUUGCUUCCUUUGUCAUGGGGGAAGAUACAGGCAGAGGAACCCAGGGUCCUAUACUGGCACAGGCCCUACUACCGAGCUAUACGCCAGCCCAAUUCAUUAAUUCAUACACUCAUUCUUUUAUCCCAUAAGAAAGGCUUAGAGUAGCCAGGCGCUGGUGGCACAUACCUUUAAUCCCAGCACUCGGGAGGUAGAGGCAGGCAGAUCUCUGUGAGUUCGAGGCCAGCCUGGUCUCCAGAGAUAGUGCCAGGAUAGGCUCCAAAGCUACACAGAGAAACCCUGUCUCAAAAAACCAAAAAAAAAAAAACCCAAAAAACAAACAAACAAAAAAAAAGGCUUGGAGCUUUUAGUAAACAUGCUGAUGGACUCUUUGCAUCCCUAUCUCAGUUCUAUAUGGCUGUCACUUCUUUUUCUUAUUUUGACAGGCUAUAUUUAGUUGGCUAAUCUUUAUUUAUGAUUUUGUCUUGAUGCUUAAGAGAAUUGAUCUAUAAUUUUUUUUUGUGUGGUCCUAGAUGGGCUGUACACCUUUGACACCUACUUAAGGCAUGCAGUUUGGGUGUUUUCAAGGUACUAGGCAUGAGCUGGGAGGUGGUGGCACACACCUUUAAUCCCAGCACUCUGGAGGCAGAGGCCGGUGGGUGAAUUUCUGAGUUCGAGGCCAGCCUGGUCUACAGAACAAGUUUCAAGAUGGCCAGAGCUACACAGAGAAACCCUAUCGAAGUGGGAAGGGAGAGGAGAAAGAGACUCAUCUUAAGUGAUUCUAGCUAGUGUUGAGCUGGCAAAACCGUCACAGAGUUAGAAAACCACAUCCGCUGAUCCAGGGUACCUUU
rnacentral:lncRNA from 1 species